CCCACAAAACCCUCGCCUGCUUUCUUCCUUCGUUUCACCUCCUCCGCCGCUCGCUGCCUUUCGUUCGUCUCUCUCCGCCUUCUCCGGUGUUUCUUCUAAGGGAGCAGGAGGAAGGAGGCAGGAGAUGGGGGACGACUCGCAGAAGGUGAAGCGUGUUCCCCACCUACCGUGGAUGAGAAACCCCGUUGACAUCGACCAAUUCGAGGAGCGCCCUCUCGGUUUCCUCCCAUCCCUUGAUCCAAGAUUGAAGGAGGCUUUGCAGAAAAUGGGUAUACAGUCACUUUUUCCUGUCCAAGUAGCAGUUUGGCAGGAAACAAUUGGACCUGGUGCAUUUGAGCGAGACAUUUGUGUAAACUCUCCGACAGGGAGUGGCAAGACACUUGCUUAUGCUUUACCAAUUGUACAAAUGCUUGCGCAUAGGAAGAUUAGAUGUUUGCGUGCUUUGGUAGUUUUACCUACUCGGGACUUGGCCUUACAGGUUAAAGAGGUGUUUUCUGCCAUUGCACCUGCUGUGGGUUUACGUGUUGGCUUAGCAGUUGGGCAGUCAUCAAUUGCAGAUGAAAUUUCGGAGCUCAUUGAGAGACCUAAGCUUGGAUCAUGUUCCCCUUUUGAUCCAGAAGAUGUAUACAUGGAGCUACAGACUGCAGUCGACAUAUUGGUGGCUACUCCAGGAAGGCUAAUGGAUCAUAUUAACAUGACAAAGGGUUUUAGUCUGGAACAUCUAUGUUAUCUGGUAGUUGAUGAAACAGAUAGAUUGCUUAGAGAGGCAUAUCAGUCCUGGUUGCCAAAUGUGAUUCAGCUUACUCAGUCAAAUGAUCAAACAUGUCAUGCAACGAGCAUUCAUGUUAUUCCUGGUUCAUUGACCACUAUUAGAAGAUGUGGUGUUGAAAAGGGUUUUAAAGGUAAAGUUUACCCAAGGUUUGUAAAGAUGAUUCUAUCUGCUACACUGACUCAAGAUCCUAGCAAGAUUUCUCAACUCGAUUUACAUCAUCCUUUAUUGCUGACAAGUGGUGAUAAGCGCUACAAACUACCUAAAAGACUGGAAUCGUUUAAACUGGUUUGCAGAUCAAAACUGAAGCCACUCUACUUGGUUGCUCUUCUGCAAACUUUGGGAGCGGAGAAGUCAAUAGUUUUUACAUCAUCAGUCGAGUCAACUCACAGGCUAAGCACAUUACUAAAAUUCUUUGGUGAAUUACCAUUUAAAAUCAGUGAAUAUUCACGUCGUCAGUGUCAGCCUGUACGAAGCAAGAAACUGAAGGCCUUCAGGGAAGGAAAAACACAAGUGCUCAUUGCAACAGAUGCAAUGACACGAGGAAUGGAUGUUGAAGGAAUUAGAAAUGUCAUAAAUUAUGAUAUGCCAGCUUUUGUUAAGACAUAUAUUCAUCGAGCAGGUCGCACUGCAAGGGCAGGUCAAUCUGGCCGUUGCUUUACAUUAAUGAGAAAAGAUGAGGUUAAGCGCUUCAACAAGUUGCUUGAGAAGGCUGACAAUAAUUCCUGUAUUAUCCACUCUUUACCUACCGACUCUGUAGAAAGCCUUCGUCCUCUUUAUUCUUCUGCUCUGGAGAAGCUGAAAGAGCAUGAACAAUCAUGGACAGCAAGAAAAUCAAGAAUCAGUUUCAAGUCGGUUAGAGCAAGUAAGAGAAAGAUAGUGCAGAAGAAAUGAAGGAAUGAUGUAUUUUCAAGGUGGAGAUCCCUUAUGAGAUUUGUCUGAUAAUCCCAACUAAUAUCAUGGUUGUUUGAUAGUCUGCUCUUCUGGCCACUAUCAAGUCAGGAAGUCUACUUAUCAAGUCACAGAGUCCAGAUGGAAACACGGGAGGGAUCGACGAAUCGCAUGCCAUCUCCAAUGAGAUGCUAAUUACACGGCUUGAGCUAAAACAAUUAUUCAAGAAUGUACAAGUUACUUGAUAAAGCCAUCUUCUCCAUGUUGUAGUAGUGAGUUCCGUUUUUGGUAUUAGCUAGUUAGUUCAUUGCUUAUUCUAUUUCCUCUUAUCGUUGUUGGUCAAUCGCAUCUCGAUCUUGUGGUAAAAGAUUAAUAUUUUCAGGUCCAACCGUGAAGGUUUGCAAUAUAAAAGAUCGCAUUAUUAGAGAAAGGGCUCUUUGCUUGGUUUAAA